UCAAUGUAUUUUAGCAUAAUAUCAGAAUCAAAAUUUAAAAGAUUUUGAAUCCAAAAAAAAGAUCAGAAAAGACAGACCAUCAGAAUGACAAAAAAAUAAUAAUAAAUUAAAUGGUAAUGUAAAAUUUUUAAAUUUUAAAUGAUAAAAUGUUAAGCGCCAAAGGCAUAAAAAUUCAGAGGGCUUACCCUUUAUUUUAAAAAAUGAAAUGAUUUAUAAGAAAAAGAAGAGAAACUGGAAAAAGAGAAAGGAGAAAAAGAAAAAAGCAAAUUGGAAAUGGAGAGGAGAAGCAACCGAUUUCAACGUCCAAAUCCAAACCCACCGGUCUUCUUCUUCUCGGGAACCAACAACAACUUCUCACUAACAAAUUCUCUUCAAACCCACUCAAAAUUCGGAUGAUUCAACAAGCAGAAGAAGAAGCACUGCCCAUCAACAAAAACAACAAGAAAACAACGCGAAAAUGCGACUUCUGGCAUUCCACCAUUGUUGGAACUUGCUCUUUGAUAUGCCCAGAGAGCGAAAGGGCUCAGCGUAAAAGGCUACGGGAUUUAGCUGUGUUUGAGAGGUUGAAUGGAAAUCCAGCUCAAUCUUCUCCAAGCCUAGCAGUUAGAAAGAGCAUUUGUUUAAGAUGGAGAAGCUUGUUGUUAACUGGAUUCUUUGGCGGCGAAAAGAUCUUGGAACCUUAACCAUAAAGGGAGUGCAAGCAUUAGAUGUUCGAUCCCUCCCUGUUUUGGAAGACACUUUAAACUACCUUCUAGGACUGUUGGAUAAUACAGAACAUCCUUAUGAAGUAGUCCAUGACUUCAUCUUUGAUAGGACAAGAUCCAUAAGACAAGAUAUUACCAUGCAGAAUAUUGUCAAUAGUAGUAAUGCGUACGUAUCAGCAAAGGGUGUGUUUUUCUGAGAAACCUUCAGUUGUCUUUGCAUUCUAAAAGUUUUUCUUCUGAACAUGCCUACCGAUGUUAGUAUUUCCCUUCCAUAUAUAUGUUUUUUGUUGACACAAUAUUUGUACAAUAAAGGAUUGUCUUGCGUGGUCAAAUCGUAUUAUCAAAUCUUUUGUAUUGAUUUCCUAUCAAUCAAAGAUUGUUUAUUAUCAGAAAAAAAUAAAAAAAUCAGAUUGCAUUAUCUUGUGAAGUUUACUCUUUGACUUGUAUUAUCUUGUGGAGCAAACAACAAAUUGCAUCAGAUGCUUGAGCUUGAAACCAAAUUUAGGGUAUUACUCAGUUGUAUUAUUCAUUAUAUAUGAACGCAUAUGACAAGCAAGCCACCAUUACUAAUUGAUACUUUUGUGCACAUAUUCAUCUAUUUAGUUCUGUAAUUAUUUAGUAUUUGGAUCUUUAAAUCAUGAGAACAUGUAAAAUGCUGUAUAUAAUUGCAUGUGUUUUAUUUUAUAGGUUAAAUUUCAUGUCAUAUCUCACUACAAGCUUAGAAGUUGUGGUACCUCUCUGAAUACUUCUGUACAUUACCCCAACAUGGAGCAGCUUACAGAGGCUCUGACUACUCUUUUCAAUCUGCAUGAAGCCAAUCGUAGCUCCAAUUCUACUUAUAAAAAUGAAGCCGAAUUCUGUUCUUAUUAUGUGCUGCUUCAUCUUGGUUCUAACCGCUAACCAGUGGUUGAUCUCCAUUUUAUGGCCAUACUAGUAGUUUUUCCUUUAUUGCUGUCUUGCGCUAAGUCUUAAGUACAUGAUAUGUAGCUAUUCUGAUCUGGGGGGAAAGUCACUCUCUGUGUGGUUUUGCAAUGCGUCUUCUCCGAUUAUCAAUUUGACAGAAAUGAGCUUUGCCCGGAAUAUUUAACUGAUGGGGAGUUACAAGCGUUUUUUAUGCGUUACUGAAUCCAAGGCAUUUUACCUCCAAUACUACAUUAUCGAACCUUACGUGGAUGGGGUCUGGGCAUUGGCGCUCUCAUGUAUCAAUAACUGUGGCUAAAACUUCAUCCCUAUCCUUUAGCACACCUAUCCAACCUAUUGAUGAUGAAGGAUCUGAUACAAAAUCACUUUGCAAGGCAUGUGGUCUUGAAAUUUGCAUGGACGAAGAAGGAAAUAAGUUAUUACCAACCAAGCUAACAACCUUCUCUUGUUCCGAAGGAGGUUUGGAGUUCUACAGCUUCUCAGGUUUGGAAUGGCACAACCUUUUCUUGUUCCAAAGAAAAAUUGUUCCUCAUGUACUUGCUCCUUUUUUACACCUUCACUGGUGCUAAGUAUAAGUUUUACAUAUUUAAUGAUAUGGAAAAAUUAUUUGUAAGUACAACUUGGGUUUUAACAUUUUUGAAAUAAUUAUUUGUUAAUAUUGUCGUUCAAAUUCUUUUUAUUUA